UACGGAGGGAGCUAGCGUUGUUCGGAUUUACUGGGCGUAAAGCGCGCGUAGGCGGAUCGCUAAGUCAGGGGUGAAAUCCCAGGGCUCAACCCUGGAACUGCCUUUGAUACUGACGAUCUGGAGAUCGGGAGAGGUUGGUGGAAUUCCGAGUGUAGAGGUGAAAUUCGUAGAUAUUCGGAGGAACACCAGAAGCGAAGGCGGCCAACUGGCCCGAUACUGACGCUGGAGGUGCGAAAGCGUGGGGAGCAAACAGG
rnacentral:rRNA from 1 species